CUCUCCCUUUCUCUCUCGCGUGUUGUUCCGAACCUAACGUCGCCCGGUUGGUGGCACUUUCAUGCCGCUGAUCCGGGGAAUUUCUUCGAUCCCCCCGAUCUCCCAAUCGAACACGCCACCUUUGCGUCUCGUUUCCUUGCUGCACGCCGUUACGCGCACGUAAUUACUCGCGGACGAUCAUAGGUGAACGUGAAGUUCCUACGAUCACGUUACUUACGUACGUACGCAUUGAUUACACCCGAUACGCGAUGAUGGGACGCACGGCGUGAACGGGAAAACCGUGGCCGUCUCGCGCGUUUUUGCGCGCGACUCAAGAAUGACGCCGAGGCUCCACGGCACCGGGUUCCGUUUAAUCGAUCCACCUCGUCGUUAACGGGGAACGAUCGGUUUUAUCGCCGGAAACUUGGAGUCAUCGAUCGGACGCUCCGUUUUUCAUGUGGCUAGUGUUGCUCGCGCGGGAGACCGACCACGUGUUUGUUGCUCGCGCGGAAUCCUCUUCUGUAGAACGGGAAACCGGGACCAGUCUCAUUAAUCGAUCCCCAGGGAUACCACGAGCUGCGACGUCGAUGAACGUCACAGUGGAACGUGGCCGCUUUAGUAAAGGACAAAUAUUUGCACGAAGAAAUUAGGCGUACUACUGUUGGCCAGAGAGUUUCUCUUCUUUUUCUUUCGCUUAUUCGUCUUCUUCUUCUUCUUCUUCUUCUUCUUCUUCUUCUUCUUCUUCAUCAUCUUCUCUGCCUCUUCUUCGUCUUCGUCUUUGUUUUCGUUUUUGUCUUUGUCUUCGUUUUCAUUUUCGCCUUCUUCCGCACGGAGCAAACGGACUCGGGUCUGUGGCAAGAAUUCAGGUGUUACGUAACGGUGGAAAAGAAUGAACCGCGUUACGAGUUGGCCGACGGUUUUUCGUGAACUCGAUAAAGACCACGUGGCGAACGUGGCUGACAUUGAGCUCACGGUUCCCAGCGAUCGGCGGGGCUAGAGAGCUUCUUUUUAGUCCCUUCCAGUACCAUUUUGGUGAAAGAGAGAUCUCCGAGUCGGCGAGUGUUUGUGAAACCGUGAAACUGCGAAGCCACGCGCGUGACAUCUAUCACCCGCGACAGGUGUAUCGUAAAAUUCGCUUGUUCAUUUUGUUCUACGGGAAAACCGACACGAUUUCUCGGGCCGCGAGUGCGGCUUUCAUAGGAAACCUUGUGGUAUCGGGCCGCAGCAAUCCCGUUAAGUCUAUCGUCGAGUGUGUUUGUUGGAUUAAGGGGAGCCUACACAUGACAUUGACACUGCGGUGGAAUGUUAACACGGUGUAAGAAGAAGAAAAUGAGGGAAAAGAAGGCAGCAUUCAGGAAAAUUUAUUUGAACGCGGAACUCGGGAACCAGUACUGCCUGAGUACGUUCGGCUGACCUCAAUAGAGUUUUGGGCCGCGUCUAAGAAGAAUGAAAAGGAGACGGAGGAACCGGAGAAAACGAGAACUCAUGCGCGACGCGGCCGACCGUGCUCCCCGGAAUUUGCGUUGCAGGUUCGCGUGAACACACGUCACGGACCAGGCCCGUUAACCGAACCCGAGUAAACAAAGAUGACCGUAGAAAAAUAGCCAACGAGGAAAAAGAUAGGAGCAACAAAGAUCACGACGAUUAUCGACGAAAACGAAACAGAAAUCAAGCAGAAAUCGCUAGAAAAAGGGAAAUAAAGGACACUCGACACUAACCUGCGCAACAAAUGCUCCCAAACUGAAGGACAACGUGGAAGAGCAUCAAAGAAGCAACCAAAAAGUGGAACAACGCCGAAAGACGUGAACAAAAACUGAAGUAAAGCACUCGUGACAGAAGCGUGUGCGCGAGAGUAUCCCUGAACGAUAUUCCUUCAGAUUCGCAAGUGAUCGCGUGCGUCUUUCGCUCUUUUAAUAACCAUUCUGUAGUUUCCCUAGGCCUCCUAUCAUCCGAGGAUCAUCGUAGCCCUAGAUUACGUCAGGUGAAUAGCUGAGAGCAAUAAUAACAACACUGGAAGAAGCGUAUUAAAUCUAGGGGUGAGAAAAGAUCGAAACGACUAAGACGAAGAGAAGAAACGGAGAACACCGGAUCGGUGUUAAUAAGGGGCGAAAAGAUCGAGGGAACGGUGUGCGAGAGUGUGGGGAAGGAUAAGAAGAAGAACAAGGAGAAACAAAAACAAGAAGCAACGUAUAGCACGUUGACGAGGCAUCGAGGGUACCGCGGCAGCGGCGCGAUACGGAACGGUAAAACAGGGAGGUAAGGGAAGGAAGAAAGGCGAGGCGCAUGGAAGGUGUAACGUGGGGCCAGCGAAAGGGGGCAAGAAGCCAAGAAAGACACCAAGAAACCAAGAAACCAAGGAGAGAAGAAAAGGUAGCAUACUUACCCAAUAGGAGCAAAUACGAAGAAAGAAAUAUAGGGUAGAAGAGAAUCUUCGUCCAACGAACGAAAGGCAAGAAAUAAAGAAACUAAGGAAAGUAAAGGAAGUAAAGAAAGUAAAGAAAACGCGGGAUAGAGAGAGACAAGUAGAAACGUAACGUGCGUGCAAGAGUGUAACGUACAGCGAGGCCAAAGCGGAAGAGAGAUAGAGCAGCGAAGAGGGCAGUAGGGGGGAGACGUAACGCGAAAGAAGAGAGGGAAAAGAAGAGA